rnacentral:rRNA from 1 species
AUGACGUCAAGUCCUCAUGGCCUUUAUGACCAGGGCUACACACGUACUACAAUGGCCGAUACAAAGGGCAGCGACACUGCGAGGUAGAAGCCAAAUCCCGUAAAAUCCGGUCUCAGUCCGGAUUGGAGUCUGCAACUCGACUCCAUGAAGUUGGAAUCGCUAGUAAUCGUGGAUCAGCAUGCCACGGUGAAUACGUUCCCGGGCCUU